AUCUGGGUGGCUCAGUUGGUGAAGCAUCUGACUUCUGCUCAGGUCGUGAUUUCACGGUUCGUGAGUUCGAGACCCGCUCCAGACU
rnacentral:tRNA from 1 species